UGUUAAAGUGCAAAUGGUUGGGGAAAUAUCCUACAACUUCAAGUAGAUCUUGGAUGAUGUACAAUGCUCAGAGACGCACUGAUUUUAGUUAUUCAUUUUUAUCCUGGUCAGCAUGAUGGUAGUCCAUCCCGGGAAGGAGAGCUCACACCGGAUUGUACACAUUCACUCCUAGAUGUGCUAGCUAGAUCCAUCCAUCUUCCAUUCCAUCUUGUUUAUCCUACACAGGGUUGCAGGGGAGCCUGGAGCCUAUCCCAGGGAACUUGAGGCGAAAGCCGGGCGGCACCCUGGAUGGGGUGCCAACCCGUCACAGGGUAUAAUCGCACACUCCAGACAAUUUGGAAAUGCCAAUCAGCAUGGCUUUGGACUGGGGGAGGAAACCUCCAAAGCACAGGGAAAGCAUGCAAACUCCAGGAGCAGAGGCAGGAUUUGAACCCCCAACCCUGGAGGAAACCAAAGAACCCAGAUGAAACCCACAAGGACAAGGGUAGAACAUUUGAAACAGCACACAGACUGUAACCUGAGCUCAGGAUCGUCAAACCAGGGACGCUGGAGCUCUGAAAAGCUGCAACAUUACCUGCUUUUGUAUAUAAUAACUACACACACAUUAUAUAUUAUAUAUUACACAUAUAUAUAAAAAAACAGAUAUCGGAUAUCAGAGCAUCCCUAGUCGAAAGUAUGAAAAUGUCAGAUCUGAUAACAGCACACCCUGAAGUGUUGUAUUCCUCAUAUACCACAGCAAUUUGCCAAUUUCUCAAAUGUUCUACAUAUUAAUAUCUGUAAUGCUAAUUCAAGUUGAUGGAGUUAUUUUUACUUCCUAUAAAUUUAUGCUGAUCCACAUCAAGAUCGUAUAUCAAUAACAAUUUCAGAUAUCAGCGCACCCCUAAUAUAUAGUAGGGGUGUAAACCACAGGCUUCCACACAAUACGAUACAAUUACGGUAUUUGAUGAUACCAGUUAAAUCAUCUACAAUAUGCUAUGAAACAAUUUCGGUUCAUAAGGCAACAAUUUGAUAUUUGACAAUACCACCAAAUGAUAUGAUACGAUUCGAUUUAGUAGCCUUUUCGAUUUUAGACCAAUCUGGAGUAGGUCUACCGUUAAUUUGCGAAUGAUGUUGAUGAUGUAUUUUACAUAUCACAGUUACAGAUAAAUCACCUUUCUUUUAAAUCACCAAUUGAAUUGUUUACACAUCAGUAGAAAAAAUGAAUUCUUUUCUUACACACCAGUUUUCUGUCCUGAUUAUUGUCCAAUAACCGUAUAUCCCAAAGUGUUUUAUUCCUCUUAUACCACAGCAAUUUGGCAAAUGUUAUACAAACAAAUAUCCAUAAUUCUAAUUAAUAGGUUGACACUGAAUGAUCCUACAUUAUAUCAAUUUGUUUAAUUCAAGGCAUGUGUAUGGACUCAGAUUUAUAUAAUGUAGAAAUUCUACCUCAAUGUAUUUGUAUAACAUUUGGCAAACUGCUGUAGUAUAUGUGGAAUAAAAUACUUUAGGGUGUGCUGCUAUAGGAAAAUAUUCAACUCCACAUCGGGCUGCAUCACACCACUGCGGCAUCGAUUAUUUUCCUAUAACAACACACCGUUAUGUUUUAUUCUGAUAUCUAAGAUUUUGUAUUUGAGAUUUAUACCAGUAAAUGAAUCCAGCUUACAGCACAAAACCCAAAUUAACUGUCGCCAGAGCAAACAAUAACCCGCUCAGCCCAAUAUACCCAUGUUACAUAAUGUACUUUUCCAGAACGGGAGUUAAUCCAAUAAAAGCCAAACAUUUCUCGUG